rnacentral:rRNA from 1 species
GCAGUAGCCACGGGAAUACGGAGGAUCCAAGCGUUAUCCGGAAUCAUUGGGUUUAAAGGGUCCGUAGGCGGUCUUGUAAGUCAGUGGUGAAAGCCCAUCGCUCAACGGUGGAACGGCCAUUGAUACUGCAGGACUUGAAUUAUUGGGAAGUAACUAGAAUAUGUAGUGUAGCGGUGAAAUGCUUAGAGAUUACAUGGAAUACCAAUUGCGAAGGCAGGUUACUACCAAUUGAUUGACGCUGAUGGACGAAAGCGUGGGUAGCGAACAGGAUUAGAUACCCCAGUAGUCCCUGUCUCUUAUAA